rnacentral:lncRNA from 1 species
CUCAAGAUUCCUUCAGAUCCUUUCCAGGAAAUGUCAAGGAGUGUGUACAUAUAACACUGAGGUUAAGUAACAAUGCUACACCAUAUCUUUAGCUGGGCUCCAGGACAGCUCCUCCAUGUUUGCUGCUUGCCCUGGGCUUGACCGUGCACCAGCUGGGCCAACUCCUAUGAGAGAUAUCCAUGAGUCUAAGCAUGAAGGGGAAGCGCGAGAAAGACCGGCGGGACAGGGCUCAACACUCACCGGCAGUGACUCUUGGACUCCUGUGAACUCAAACUUUAUUAUGCAAAGAACCCCUUCAGUCUUUGACUGCUCCCCCGUAGGACCUGAAGCCCAAACCAGGGACUCAAACCACUGCUCCCAUUGGAUAUGAUGUUACUACAACAUCACCCAUAGUAUUCUAUAGCAAUGGAGAGACGAAAACCACUGCACACUGUAGGAUAAAUUACUACACAAUUGUGUUUUUAUGCGCUAUAACACACGCAACCCUGCUUAUGUAGCAAACGCCACCACCGCACAAUAUUGAUAUGCAUUCCGUGUUGCAUCAUUCAGGGAGGUAGCUGAUCUGUAAGGUUGGUUCAGGCACCAUUAGGCUGAUGGAAAGAAAUGCCCAAUGACGAUUUAUUAAAGGGUAGAAGGUCCUAAAUGUGAAAGUAGGCCAGGUUAAUGAGAGGACUUCAAUUUGUUUCUCAAAAAGUAGAUCCAAUACCACAGAAAGACAUGACCGGUUACGUGCUUUGUCCAUCGGGGAGGUCAAUCUUAUUAAUCUUCUGUUUUGGAACUACUUUGAGUCAUGUGGAUUUUUAUUGAGAGAAUUCGUCGUUCUGUCAAUGAAAAGCUCCGAAAAAACUGGUUUGAAAAUAUUGUGAACCUGUCGAUACCAAUAGCACAAAUAUAUCUGAUGUUCCGUUUCACACGUGUUCAUUCCAAGCUCCGUUACUUCCUGUGUGUCGCAUUUACCCUGGUUCCUCUCGUUAUACACAAACACGGCACAGCAUCCUUUUAAUCUAAGCCAUGCUGUUUAUUGACUUUGAGCAAAUACACAGGCACUUUCCUUUGGCACUUCUGCAUCACCAGUCACCUCCUCAAAAGGGCAGGUAACCCUCUGCAGCAUACCAGUAUUUACCAUGUGUUUUAGACCAUUUUUAUAAGUGUUUUAUGAAUAUUUUAUAGACGUGUAUAAAUGAACUCUACAGAGGGGAUCAUACCGACUACUCAAAUGCACACAAGGUUAAUCAUGUCAACUGAUGAAUGUUAUUGUCAGUGUAGUGUAUGCAUUUAUACAUAUUGCUUAUGUUUCAUAACAAGUCCAAUGAGUAUAUCCUCUGGCGUGUUGAUGUUGAUGUUCUCCGUAUCCACAGCCAGAAUGAUUUUGCAGUGCAUGGUGAUCAAACAUGUUUCCUGUUAUAUUCAUCAGAGGUGUAGGGAGGGUGAAGUCUGUGAAUCCAAUUUUUUAUUAUACAGAUGUUUAAUUAAACAUGUACACGACAGUACUCAUACCUUGGUUUUUGUGGUAAAUGGG